rnacentral:lncRNA from 1 species
CUCUCUCCUCUCUCUCUCUCUUCUAUAUAUUAUAUAGUAUAUUAUAUUUAUAUAUAUAUAUAAUAUAUAUACUAUAUAGAGACUUAUAUAAUGUCUAGAUUAUCUCUAUGCCUGUAUAUGUUUUCUGUAUAAAAUGGAAAUAUAUUGCUUUGUAACAUACUUUUCUUUUAUCACAAUUUUUGGGAGCUCAUGGUACAGUGCUUACCUACAUUUGUAAAGCUGUGUGUCUGGAAUCUCUGGUCUUGGUAAGUGGAGGUAGGAGGAUCAAAGAACAAGGUGAUCUUUUGCUCUGAAGAAAUGGAGGCCAUCGUGACAUAACUUAAGACACUGUCUGAAAGGAAAAAAUGAAAUAAAAUUAAACUUUCUUGAUCCCUUUGCUCAUGACUGCUCCCUCUCUACAACUGGAUUCCAGGAACUUGGCUCAGUGCUUACCUGUGCUGGUACAGCCUUGCAAACAUGGUGAAUAUUCUUAAGAGCUGCCAGACUUUCUACAAACAUUUUAAACACCAGCCCGACAAAGUGACACAGCACAACAAGAAUUGAUUAGAAUCCUCGGUCUGUUGAGGAGCAGCAACAAUGCCAGUAGCUGAGUGGGGGUCCUCAUAUCUGUGCUGUUACCUGUGUGAGGCUGACUCCAGCACAAGGGCCAGGAAUGCUUCUGGUGGAAGACAGUAUUUGUAUGUGCUGUACUUGCUCCAUACCUGGGGAAUCUACACAGAAGCCAAACAUUUGUUUUAUUUUCUGGCAAUGCCAGGAGGCUUUCCCUAUAAUAAAAUGGAACCUCCUGAAACUGAGAAGCUUCUGUAAUUCAAAGGACACAGACAGCAAGACAAAACAGCAUUCCACAGAAAGGGAAAAGAUCUUCACCAACUCCACAUCUGAUAGAGGGAUGAUUUCCAAAAUAUCCAAAUAACUCAAGAAACUAGACAUCAAACU